AGGUGGUGCAUGGUUGUCCGUCAGCUCGUGUCGUGAGAUGUUGGGUUAAGUCCCGCAACGAGCCGCAACCCCUACGUUUAGUUGCUAACGCGUGAAGGCGAGCACUCUAGACGAACUGCCGUUGACAAAACGGAGGAAGGUGGGAUGACGUCAAAUCAUCAUGCCCCUUAUGUUCUGGGCUACACACGUGCUACAAUGGCCGGUACAGACGGACGCAAAGCCGCGAGGUGGAGCAAAUCCUAAAAAGCCGGUCUCAGUUCGGAUUGCAGGCUGCAAUUCGCCUGCAUGAAGUCGGAAUCGCUAGUAAUCGCAGGUCAGCAUACUGCGGUGAAUACGUUCCCGGGCCUU
rnacentral:rRNA from 1 species